AAGCCACGCCACAGACUUACAUAAAACGACGCGUCACCUGACUGCCAGCGCAGGCUUACUUCCUAUUGGCUGACAGGAUUCAGCGAGGAGAGCUACAAAGCAAAGAGGCGGUGGGGGGAAAUUAUAAAACAAGGCCACGUGCUCUACUUUCCCACAACUUCUUUUUUUGCGAGAUACUUAGGAGCCGGAAGGUUUGAAUGUUCAGAAAGGACAGAACUGUAUUCCAGCAUUAUGUUGUAGGUAUAUUCAGAUGAUUGUAUACGUGUAUAUGGUAUUGUGAAGACUGUACAUGUGUUCAUUUUAAAAGUGAACCUGCUCAAGCCCCUGAAAAAUGCAAUCUAUGGAAGAAGACGGGAACGGUAUCCUUUUGUUGGAGACUCAAUGAAUAUUUGCUGAAAAAAGUGGAAAUUGUGGAGAAAGCCAAAAGGAAGUUAAAGGAUUAUUUUGAAACCUAUGUUUAUAGAAAUAUGUAAACUGCUAUUCUAAGUAUGUGCAGGAGGUUGAUAGGCAGAUAGCUGCCACAGAAAGGACAGAGAAAUGUUGCUUGGAAUGCAGGAGAGAAGACCAUGAGAGAGGAAAAACCAGUUGGAGGACAGCUGGUCAGCCAUUAAGAGGGUGGAGAGGCUUGGAAGACUUAUCCUAGGAAGAGAGAAGCAGGGCUUAAGUAGAGGCAGGGGGUAAAUCUGCUCUCUAUAAGAAGCCAGGUCAGAAACAAAAUGUACAAGCCAAGUACCUCAACCCCAAGAUAAAGAAAGAAACUCAAGAAAGAACUUCAACUGUAUUAUAUGAACAAGAUGUUCUUCUGAGUCUAAAGUGUCAUGCUGCAUUUGUUUUUGCAUCACUGAGGUUUUCCAGUGGUUCCAGGCAGGGCAGCUCCUCCCUCCCACUUACUGCCACCACAGGGAUACUUAAGAACCAGUUUGGCCUGAAGACAGAAAAGGUUGUUAGGUAGCUUGGCUGAAGACAGCGGCAUGAACAAAGAAGCAACCACAAGAAUAAACCAGAUGCUUAAAUGGUUCAGAAGAGUGAAAAACACAGAGGAGGAAAAGAGGAACAACUUUGACCCUAUCACUACAAAGACAUUGAUCUUCAUCUAACAAGAGCGACUGAUUAAAUGUACACAUGUAAUUAAAGAGACAGGGGGAAACUCCCUGCAAGCAAAACAAAAGCCUUUUUCCUUGUUCUUAACUGCAGGCACAGCACCAGGCCUGAGCCUCUGCAAGUCAAUGGAGUGGUUAAAUUGACUAGACCAGAUUGUGAGCAGUUUCUGAUGUAGACAGUUUCAGUCCUAAGUAAAACUAAAGGAACAAAAUUAAUAAAAGUAUGUUACCAUUGGCUGAAUAUGAGUUGCAUGUGAAACACAGCUUCUUAGUGGAUAAAUUUUCAAAUUCUUGUGUUUUGGUCAUUUCUUAAUGGAUAUGCCUCAAACUUGGACAAGUAGUGGUGCUGGUCACUUAGUUGUUUCACACCAAAUUUCAGGUGGUUGGGGAAGAUGCAUAGGAUUUUAUGACUGAUUUUUUAAAAUAGGGCUUAUAAUGGUGGAAUGCAGCUUUACAAUGAUGAUUGUAAAGUGGAGAUGAAGGGCAGUGGAGAU